ensembl:lncRNA
CUGCUCUUCUACAACAGAUUCCCAAGGUGGAGGACAGAGGACACUGAGGUUAUUCAGGGACGGCAGCCAAAACUACUGUGAUUAUGGAACGAAUGGCAACAACAAGGUCUCAUCCUACAUCUGCUAACUUCUUCCCAUAAAUGAAUCCAGUCUUCCUGCCCAUACUUUCUCUUCUUGUUAAAUAGGUGUUGAGUGAGGGCUAAGAAGGGGACAAAGAAUAACGAAGGCGAUAAACAGGAGAUGGCAUACUUCCUACUCUCUAAAAAAGUCUACAGAAGAAGGUUCUGGGAGGGAGACAUCAUUUCAGACUGCCAGUGCCAGCCCAGAGGGAGCAGCCUGCUACCAUUAUCCUCCAUGGAUUAGAACCAGAAACUCUGGACAAAAUAGAAAAGGAAACUACCUGAAUACCGAGUAGCAAGCAAAUUGGAGAAGCAAGUCAAAAUUUGAAGAAUGACUAGGACAGUGGAGGUAAGUUUUCUUCUUUCCUUC